UCUGGUUGAUCCUGCCAGAGGUUACUGCUAUCGAGGUUCGACUAAGCCAUGCGAGUCGAAUGUAGCAAUACAUGGCGUACUGCUCAGUAACACGUGGACAACCUACCCUUGGGACGGGGAUAAACCCGGGAAACUGGGUAUAAUACCCGAUAGAUCUCGAAUGCUGGAAUGCAUCGAGGUCGAAAGCUCCGGCGCCCAAGGAUGGGUCUGCGGCCUAUCAGGUAGUAGUGGGUGUAGCGUACCUACUAGCCUACGACGGGUACGGGUUGUGAGAGCAAGAGCCCGGAGAUGGAUUCUGAGACACGAAUCCAGGCCCUACGGGGUGCAGCAGGCGCGAAAACUUUACAAUGCUGGAAACAGCGAUAAGGGGACCUCGAGUGCCAGGUUACAAAUCUGGCUGUCGUGAUGCCUAAAAAGCAUUGCAUAGCAAGGGCCGGGCAAGACCGGUGCCAGCCGCCGCGGUAACACCGGCGGCUCGAGUGGUAACCGUUAUUAUUGGGUCUAAAGGGUCUGUAGCCGGCCGGAUAAGUCUCUUGGGAAAUCUGGCAGCUUAACUGUCAGGCUUUCAGGGGAUACUGUCUGGCUCGAGGCCGGGAGAGGUGAGAGGUACUUCAGGGGUAGGGGUGAAAUCUUGUAAUCCUUGAAGGACCACCAGUGGCGAAGGCGUCUCACCAGAACGGACCUGACGGCAAGGGACGAAAGCUAGGGGCACGAACCGGAUUAGAUACCCGGGUAGUCCUAGCCGUAAACGAUACUCGCUAGGUGUCGGCCACGGUGCGACCGUGGUCGGUGCCGUAGGGAAGCCGUGAAGCGAGCCACCUGGGAAGUACGGCCGCAAGGCUGAAACUUAAAGGAAUUGGCGGGGGAGCACCACAACGGGUGGAGCUUGCGGUUUAAUUGGAUUCAACGCCGGAAAUCUUACCGGGACCGACAGCAAUAUGAAGGCCAGGCUGAAGACUUUGCCGGAUUAGCUGAGAGGUGGUGCAUGGCCGUCGUCAGUUCGUACUGUGAAGCAUCCUGUUAAGUCAGGCAACGAGCGAGACCCACGCCCACAGUUGCCAGCGUACUCUCCGGAGUGACGGGUACACUGUGGGGACCGCCGCUGCUAAAGCGGAGGAAGGAAUGGGCAACGGUAGGUCAGUAUGCCCCGAAUAUCCCGGGCUACACGCGAGCUACAAUGGUUGGUACAAUGGGUAUCUACCCCGAAAGGGGA
rnacentral:rRNA from 1 species